CUAUUUCUGAGGAGAAAAUGAGCAGUGAAGAUUCACCUUGGAGCUAGAACAGGGACGUGCACAUGAUAAUACAGGGGCAGGGGCUCAAGUUUUUUCCAGUCAUUUAUACAAUAUGGAAAUUAAUGUGAAAUUAAACCACAAAUAUGUGUGAUGAACUGUUUUUAAAACUUAAACUUCAAAUAAAAAUUGUAAACUUCAAAACAUAUGCAAAUUUUUAACAAAGAACAUAGUAAUUUACCUCUAUUUACAUCAAAAUGGCGGCAAUGGCCCAGGCGUUCUUUGUAAAAUUAUUUACAAAACACUGUAUAGUCUCACAAAUGUCACUUUUUAUUUAUGCCACUACAAAAAAUGAUGAAUGAUGUAAAUGAUGCAUGAUGUAAAACAUGAUGUAAAAAACUUGUGUAGAUCCUCCUCCAUGUCAGUCCAUGUGUAAUUUUUCCAUAAUUCUUUGUUUUUUGCAGCAUUUUUGUUAGUGUAACUGCAGAUUGUGCUGACAGUCUAUGGCAAAAAAAACAAAAACUGAAAAUGCCUCAACAUGAACCCCUGGUGGUCUCUGAGGGUGAAACCUGCUAACUGCUGCAGCUCUGUCAGCUUCAGUCUCCCAUGCAGAGCUCGGAGCGCAUGUGUGGCUCUGCACCCUUAGCAGCGUUGCUAACUCCUCAGUAAGGAAAGCCUGCUUCAUGUCAGAGUCUCUAAACUCCAGAAGAAGUCGAUAAAAGCCCCUUUCUUUCUAAAAAAAGUCGUUAGGGGGUCUGAAAAGUAAUUGAAUCUAACAACAAAGUCGCUAGGUUUGCAACUACGUGUCCCAGACUGCAUCCCUGCUGAGAGUCCCUCCCUCCCUUCUCAUAUUGCAGGAAGAACGUAAGCGCCCGCCCCUUGUCAAUCAGUCACCAUAUAAUUUUGGAUUGGUUGUUGUGGUGAAGUUUUCCACCAAUAGGAGAGAUGUUGUGGUGUGUUUUUUUUUCUUUUGGCAAGCCUUUUCCGCCUGUAAGACCUGUCGCUAAUGUGUGCAUGCUAUGUUUUCCUGUCUCAUACAGCGCGAUCGAGCGCCGAACGUGAUCAAAAUAAGCAGAAAAAAAGUAUCGCGGACAUAAUUUAUCAUAACUCUGGUUUUAUUUGGCCAAUCAACACAAUUUAAAAACUGGUAUAUAGGUUGAGGUCCUCACUUUUGAGAUAAGUUGAAACGGAGAGUUAACGAGGCUCCGUCUUGCAGCUACAUCCGGUUAAAUAUGUCAUGUGACUUGAACGCUGGGGAGCGUCAAUCGAAUCGAAUCAAACCUAACUCUCAGAUGAAUCUUCAAAAUUCACCUCAGAAAUAUGCUUAUUAUUCUUCUCAGAGUACUGCAGGAUACACACACACACACACACAGACACACACACGCACACACACACACACACACUCAGAGUCUGUUUUUUAGCACCUGCAAAAACAUGCUAUUUACAUAUUUGACAAGAAUGCAGAGGCUUCCUUUUGCCCCUGAAAAAAAUCAAAUUUCAAACACAACUUGACUGCUCAUUUCUCCAAAAGACAACCAUGAAGCUCCAUCCAAACCUGAAGCAGGCAGUUGGUGCAUGUGUACAGUAACCUGAGGGGAGUGAGGUGACUGCUUCUGAGGAGAACAUGAGCAGUGAAGAUUCACCUUGGAGCUAGAACAGGGACGUGCACAUGAUAAUACAGGGGCAGGGGCUCAAGUUUUUUCCAGUCGUUUAUACAAUAUGGAAAUUAAUGU